UCCCUGGUGGUCCAGUGGUUAGGACUCAGUGCUUUCACUGCCAAGACCACAGGUUCAACCCCUGGUUGGGGAA
rnacentral:tRNA from 1 species